ACCUGAACCUAGAUUCAUCAGUGUGCGUGUCGGUAACGUUUAGGUCCACCGAUUGCAGGCAGUCGGUGCUGUGCUUAGUUGAUUGUUUUUCUUUGUGAGCUGCAGCUUGGUGAAUCAUGAGUUGCGGUGUUGCAGACUUAAUGGAUUCUGUGCUUUCACACGGUAUCCAUACUCCGUUUUGUCGGUGGUCAUUGAUUACGGCGUUUGUUUCUAGUUGCGCAUGAGUAUCUCGUUGCUAGUCGGGGUCACUGUUUGGUUCUUCGGGUUUGAGCUUCGUCUUGUCUCAAGUGGCUCAGUAAGAGUGAUUCUCGUGUGGCACGGUGGUUCGGAAUGUUGUUUUUGUGCAGCAACUGAGAAGUUGUGGAGGAUGUGUUGAUGCAAUUGUACCGAGGAGUGUGGUUACGUUCGUGAUUAGAAUGGCAGUCUAACUGUAAAGUGCAGAGGUGGUGAAAAAAUACAGGUAAUCUUGUUUCUGGAGUUCAUUGCCUGGAGGUAAGAAGGCAACCUUGGCUGCGUCAUUGUGAACUUCCUCAGAUUGACCUCUCAAGAUGUCCAUACUAAGAAUCUUCGGUGCUAUGUUAAGGAAUUGAGGAGAUGGGUGGUUUCAACACCCAGGUAGACGUUAGGAUAAGAGCCCAUUUGUUCUUUGAUUAUUGAAAGUGUGGUCUCAUUUAUUCAAUCAUCUCGUCUGACAUUUGUUAGUUCGAAUCUGCUCGAAUUGCGUUUUCAUUUCUGGGUUAACUCCUUAAAUUAUCAUUUGCAGCCUGGAAAGAAGGCUGUAUGCAAGAAGCCACGAAUACAGGACCUUCAAUUCUCCAACAAUCUACAUGACUUCAACAGUAUUAAUAGGUUUUGCAUGAAGAAACAUAUCGCAGCAUCUCUUUGGAACCUCAGGUUUGAUGCCUCGGUUCAAAUAUCUGUCUACAAUGCAUGAAAUCAGAGAUUAGCGCUCUGAACCAUGAGUUGCUACCGAUAGGCUUGUAUGUAGUGUGUUUGCUACCUCGUGAUGCUUUUAUCGGACUGGAUUGUGCGACUCAGUCUCAAAUGCAAUGUGUAGGAUGGGUUUAUUCUACAUCGGGGAGGGUUUUAUACGACAUGAUGCUCUUAAAUAGCCUUUCAUCUACUCUUCCUGCCAAUGCCCCUCACUCAGUCCGGGCUGGCUCAUACGUCUCGAGUGAUCAACAAGGGAUGAUCAAAUUACCUCGUUCAGUACUUUAAUGAAAUAGCAUUGGGUCCAGCAGUAUUCAUUCUCGUGUUAAUUAAGUGUUAGCUUGCAAGCUGGAUGUUUCUUCACUGUUAAGAAGUCAGCGGUCUGCAUAAGCGAUAAAUCAGUGGACAAGCAUAGUGUUCCUCAUGCAGGUCAUGGCCGUGAAAUAGAGGUGUAGCCAUAUAAAUGACAAGCAAAAGAUUCCAACAGGAAUUGUCCAUGAGGUGUGCAAGGAAAGUGAGCAUUUUCACCAACCAUAGUGAUCGACUCUCACGUUCUACGAAUCAAUCAUCGAUCUGCUCACGAGACGAAUUUAGCCAAUAUAUUCUAAAUUUGUUGCGGUAGCUAAGUUCAGGUGUUCCAAAUCCCAGUACAGAAGCAAAAUCUUCCAUCACACGCUGUUUGCAAAAAGUCGAUUGAAGUGGAUCGGAGGGUCUAGAGUAAUGAUGGGGAUUCUUACAAGGAGAAUUCUUCGGCGAGGAAAUCAGACAAGUUGUUCUUACGUUCCCCCUCUCCACUAACAUCCUCCAUCUCUCUGCAGAAGGAGGAACAGGUCGACAUCAAGUUACGACUCAGCGGGUGUCAUUGAUUUAAUUCCAGAACAAGAGUUACAUGGAUGUGAGCGAAAUCCUCCAGAAGGUGCUGGAUGAAUGCAUUGAAAUAACGCAAGUUCUUCAGGGAAAACGAGCCAUCCCAAUCCUUCCAGCACAACUACAAUGAGUGAGCUAUCUCGUAUUUCGCUGCAGUCCGUCCAAAUGGCUCAUGUGAGAGCAUUUCAAUUUGUGCACCCUGUCAGAAUUAUACAGUUUUUCGAGGUAGAAAUCAAGAACGCUACUUCACAAACGUCUUGCAAAUGACACUGGAACCCUCGACGUUAAUAUCGUCAUCAGAACAGCCUCUUCGAUGGAGCUGGAUGCAACGAAAACAACUAAAUAUAGAAGAAAACCUACUGUUCAGUUGAGUGAAUCAGAUAUUUCUCCAAUGCAUAACACUUCAAAUUGGAUUAGAAUGCAUAUUGAGGUGACAUUUUCAAAAGCGAAAUCCUGGUGUAAGUUCUGACUCUCAGUAGCAGUGUGUUGGUUGAAAGGGGUCGCUGAAUUCCAGGCAUUCCAUGGAUAAAUACACUGUUGCAAACUUGUAAUGAGAUUUGAUCUUCGGACCA